rnacentral:lncRNA from 1 species
UGCUACCAGCAGGACUGCCACCCCUGAAGCUUCCAUUAACCAUCUAGGACAACCUAUUCUUUUAGCCUUGUGAAACAAUUGGUAAUGUGCUGUAUGUUUCUCAAUCUAAGAGCAUUCCUGAACAUUCCCUUUGGAGACAAAAGUAACAUCUGGAGCCAUAAAAAGCAAACAAGUUCUGAUGAAAAACAAAUGAAGAACUAAGAUGAGGGAGAAGAUGGAGUAAGAGAACGUGCACCUAAGAGGAGGGAAUAGAUGAUUGUGGCAAGCAAAGAGGAAAUGUGGCACCGUUAUUUUCUAAAUGCAAGGGUCCGAUGAACAGGCCAGAAGUUCACUAACCUCCUUCUACACUUUCAGUCUGCUUCCACCUAUUAAACAUAGGAAGACAGUCAACAGAAGCAUUCUGCACCAGGGGAACAUGGGCCAGAGGUCAGAGCAGCCUUUUCUUUUCUCUCACUUGAACGCUUUUGAAGAAAAAGUACUGCUAUUGAGUCAUGAUUCAGCAGGGGCUGUCAUUAAUGGCAGACCAAACAGCCAGGUGCCACAGUUUGCCACUGGCUUCCAGCCUCCUCAUCCAGCUGCCAGGAAGUGGAAAGGGUAGUGGAGAGGGAUGGCUCACUGGAGUAGAGCCAAGAGGAGUAAGAGGCUGACAGGCACCUUUCUGCUGUGAAGAGCCAGGCUACAGCUGGGCCCAUCAAACAGCUCCAUGGAGUACCUACAUUGUAAUAAGAAAAAGCAGGAAAGAAUUGACCAGGCAAGGUUUUUUGGAAACUGAAACACAUUUUCCAAGGUGGCACAAACAGUGGAGCCUCUGAAAGAAUAACAUGGCACGUCAAGCAUUCUGAUCACUUAACUUUAUUAUUGGCUUUCGAAAAGGGAACCAACUACUAAG